GUUGGUGUGGUGUAGUGGUUAUCACGUUAAUCUUACACAUUGAAGGUCCCCAGAUCAAUCUUUAGCAUUAACA
rfam:Ipomoea nil DNA, scaffold: scaffold0465, cultivar: Tokyo-kokei standard.